rnacentral:rRNA from 1 species
AAAUUGAAGAGUUUGAUCAUGGCUCAGAUUGAACGCUGGCGGCAGGCCUAACACAUGCAAGUCGAACGGUAACAGAAAUCAGCUUGCUGAUUUGCUGACGAGUGGCGGACGGGUGAGUAAUGUCUGGGAAACUGCCUGAUGGAGGGGGAUAACUACUGGAAACGGUAGCUAAUACCGCAUAACGUCGCAAGACCAAAGAGGGGGACCUUC